UGGGGAAUAUUGCACAAUGGGGGGAACCCUGAUGCAGCGAUGCCGCGUGGAGGAAGAAGGUUUUCGGAUUGUAAACUUCUGUCUUAAAGGACGAUAAUGACGGUACUUUAGGAGGAAGCUCCGGCUAACUACGUGCCAGCAGCCGCGGUAAUACGUAGGGAGCGAGCGUUGUCCGGAAUUACUGGGUGUAAAGGGAGCGUAGGCGGGAUUGCAAGUCAGAUGUGAAAGGCGGAGGCUCAACCUCCGGGCUGCAUUUGAAACUGUAGUUCUUGAGUGAAGUAGAGGUAAGCGGAAUUCCUGGUGUAGCGGUGAAAUGCGUAGAUAUCAGGAGGAACACCGGUGGCGAAGGCAGCUUACUGGGCUUUUACUGACGCUGAGGAUCGAAAGCGUGGGGAGCAAACAGGA
rnacentral:rRNA from 1 species